AGCAGCCGCGGUAAUUCCAGCUCCAAUAGCGUAUAUUAAAGUUGCUGCAGUUAAAAAGCUCGUAGUUGAAUUUCGGGACCAAUAUGUCGGUCGUGCUUCGGUACGUACUGUCAUAAUUGGUUUCUCCCUUCUGAAGAACCUUGAUGUCAUUAAUUUGGUGUCUUGGGGAAUCAGGACUGUUACUUUGAAAAAAUUAGAGUGUUUAAAGCAGGCUCGCGCUUGAAUACAUUAGCAUGGAAUAAUGAAAUAGGACGUUUGAUUCUAUUUUGUUGGUUUCUAGGAUCGACGUAAUGAUUAAUAGGGAUAGUUGGGGGCAUUAGUAUUCAAUUGUCAGAGGUGAAAUUCUUGGAUUUAUUGAAGACUAACUACUGCGAAAGCAUUUGCCAAGGAUGUUUUCAUUAAUCAAGAACGAAAGUUAGGGGAUCGAAGACGAUCAGAUACCGUCGUAGUCUUAACCAUAAACUAUGCCGACUAGGGAUCGGAUGAUGUUAAUUUUUUAAUGACUCAUUCGGCGCCUUAC
rnacentral:sRNA from 1 species